GCUGGCGGCAUGCCUAACACAUGCAAGUCGAACGAAGGCCCUAGCUUGCUAGGUGUCCUUAGUGGCGAACGGGUGAGUAACGCGUGGGGAUCUGCCCUAGAGUGGGGAAUAACGUUUGGAAACGAACGCUAAUACCGCAUACGCCCUUUUGGGGAAAGGCUUCGGCCGCUCUUGGAUGAUCCCGCGACUGAUUAGCUUGUUGGUGGGGUAACGGCCUACCAAGGCGACGAUCAGUAGCUGGUCUGAGAGGAUGAUCAGCCACACUGGGACUGAGACACGGCCCAGACUCCUACGGGAGGCAGCAGUGGGGAAUAUUGGACAAUGGGGGAAACCCUGAUCCAGCAAUGCCGCGUGAGUGAAGAAGGCCUUAGGGUUGUAAAACUCUUUCACUGAUGAAGAUGAUGACGGUAAUCAGAGAAGAAGCCCCGGCUAACUCCGUGCCAGCAGCCGCGGUAAUACGGAGGGGGCUAGCGUUGUUCGGAUUUACUGGGCGUAAAGCGCACGUAGGCGGCAUAUCAAGUCAGAGGUGAAAGGCCUGGGCUCAACCUGGGAACUGCCUUUGAUACUGGUAUGCUUGAGUUCGGAAGAGGGUAGUGGAAUUCCAAGUGUAGAGGUGAAAUUCGUAGAUAUUUGGAAGAACACCGGUGGCGAAG
rnacentral:rRNA from 1 species